UGGGUUAUAAUUCAGUGGUAGUGUGCUUGACUAGCAUUCAAAAAGCCCUGGGUUCAAUACCCAGUACCAG
rnacentral:tRNA from 1 species